GACGAACGCUGGCGGCGUGCCUAAUACAUGCAAGUAGAACGCUGAAGAGAGGAGCUUGCUCUUCUUGGAUGAGUUGCGAACGGGUGAGUAACGCGUAGGUAACCUGCCUUGUAGCGGGGGAUAACUAUUGGAAACGAUAGCUAAUACCGCAUAACAAUGGAUGACACAUGUCAUUUAUUUGAAAGGGGCAAUUGCUCCACUACAAGAUGGACCUGCGUUGUAUUAGCUAGUAGGUGAGGUAAUGGCUCACCUAGGCGACGAUACAUAGCCGACCUGAGAGGGUGAUCGGCCACACUGGGACUGAGACACGGCCCAGACUCCUACGGGAGGCAGCAGUAGGGAAUCUUCGGCAAUGGGGGCAACCCUGACCGAGCAACGCCGCGUGAGUGAAGAAGGUUUUCGGAUCGUAAAGCUCUGUUGUAAGUCAAGAACGGGUGUGAGAGCGGAAAGUUCACACUGUGACGGUAGCUUACCAGAAAGGGACGGCUAACUACG
rnacentral:rRNA from 1 species